GACGAACGCUGGCGGCGUGCUUAACACAUGCAAGUCGAACGGAAAGGCCCUGCUUUUGUGGGGUGCUCGAGUGGCGAACGGGUGAGUAACACGUGAGUAACCUGCCCUUGACUUUGGGAUAACUUCAGGAAACUGGGGCUAAUACCGGAUAGGAGCUCCUGCUGCAUGGUGGGGGUUGGAAAGUUUCGGCGGUUGGGGAUGGACUCGCGGCUUAUCAGCUUGUUGGUGGGGUAGUGGCUUACCAAGGCUUUGACGGGUAGCCGGCCUGAGAGGGUGACCGGACAAAUUGGGACUGAGAUACGGACCAGACUGCUACGGGAGGCAGCAGUGGGGAAUAUUGCACAAUGGGCGGAAGCCUGAUGCAGAAACGCCGCGUGCGGGAUGACGGCCUUCGGGUUGUAAACCGCUUUCGCCUGUGACGAAGCGUGAGUGACGGUAAUGGGUAAAGAAGCACCGGCUAACUACGUG
rnacentral:rRNA from 1 species